AAUCAACGCUGGCGGCGUGCCUAACACAUGCAAGUCGAACGCGAAAAUCCCGCAAGGGAUCAGUAGAGUGGCAAACGGGUGAGUAACGCGUGGGCGACCUACCUUCGAGUGGGGGAUAACCUUCCGAAAGGAGGGCUAAUACCGCAUGACAUCCCGUGUUUGGAUACACGGACAUCAAAGCCGGGGAUCGCAAGACCUGGCGCUUGGAGAGGGGCCCGCGUCCGAUUAGCUAGUUGGGAGGUAACGGCUCACCAAGGCUCCGAUCGGUAUCCGGCCUGAGAGGGCGGACGGACACACUGGAACUGAGACACGGUCCAGACCCCUACGGGAGGCAGCAGUGGGGAAUUGUUCGCAAUGGGCGCAAGCCUGACGACGCAACGCCGCGUGGAGGAUGAAGA
rnacentral:rRNA from 1 species